CAGCAGCCGCGGUAAUACGUAGGGGGCAAGCGUUAUCCGGAUUUACUGGGUGUAAAGGGAGCGUAGACGGUAUGGCAAGUCUGAUGUGAAAGGCCAGGGCUCAACCCUGGGACUGCAUUGGAAACUGUCGAACUAGAGUGUCGGAGAGGCAAGUGGAAUUCCUAGUGUAGCGGUGAAAUGCGUAGAUAUUAGGAGGAACACCAGUGGCGAAGGCGGCUUGCUGGACGAUGACUGACGUUGAGGCUCGAAAGCGUGGGGAGCAAACAGGAUUAGAUACCCUGGUAGUCCACGCCGUAAACGAUGACUACUAGGUGUCGGGUAGCAGAGCUAUUCGGUGCCGCAGCCAACGCAAUAAGUAGUCCACCUGGGGAGU
rnacentral:rRNA from 1 species